rnacentral:rRNA from 1 species
UACGGAGGGUGCAAGCGUUGCUCGGAAUUAUUGGGCGUAAAGGGUAGGUAGGUGGUCUCAUUUGUCUGGGGUGAAAGCCUUGAGCUUAACUCAAGAAGUGCCCCAGAAACGGUGAGACUAGAGUCCUGGAGAGGGUCGUGGAAUUCCCGGUGUAGCGGUGAAAUGCGUAGAUAUCUGGAGGAACACCGGUGGCGAAGGCGGCAUCCUGGACCAACACUGACGCUGAGGAGCGAAAGCCAGGGGAGCAAACGGG